ensembl:lncRNA
GUGGAAGGGCAUGCAUCUCACAAUAAACUUGUGUAUACAAGUGUGAAUUUUGUGGUUGAGACAAUGUAUAAUUAUAACUACGCUUUAGAGGUGUUAUGGAUAUUUUUAUCAGCAGGUGCAUGCUUUACUAAUAGAUCCUAAGAAUUCUUCUAUUUGUACUUUUGACACUCUGUAUUAAGUGUGAUAAACGUCAUGCACUCUGUCUGUGUAUGAAUAUAGGAGACUACCAAAUAAGGAGAGAUGCAAACUUUAUGAAAGGCUAUAAAAGGCCAAGGAGCGCUUUGUGCGGGGCCGCACUCCGAUGGUGAAGACUUACUCGCUGUUAUUUUCAUUUUUUAUUACUUAUGAGUUAUUGUCUACUAAUAAAGCGAAGCCAUUACAAAUGGUGAUGCGUUAAAUGUUUAUUAAAAUAAAAGACUCUAAGUAAUUUAUUUACGAGCAACAUAUUAUUCUGGAACUGAAUAUUCCUUUCGAGCCUCAAGAAGUCUGAACUCAGCUGAGCAGAUUUGGGUGCGAUCUCAGAGAUUCCUGCAUCUAUACAUCACCAUCAGAAGACAAAAUUCAUACAAGCACAAGACUGACUGCAGAGGAACCAGUGUCCAGCGAGGAGCAUCUCAGCUGAGCACAAAACGAAAAAGAAAAACCAUCAAGAUCAUUUAAAGCACUUACAGUAGAACAAGAAGAAAUGAACAUACAAAUACCAACACCAGCAGUAGCAGUGACUGGGGUCUCCAUUCAGCCUGCUGUAUCGGUGGUUCAGCCCGCUGUAACGUAUGUUCAGCCCGCUGUACCAUUGAUUCAGCCCACUGUAACGGUUGUUCAGCCCGCUGCACCAUUGGUUCAGCCUGUUGUGGUCAUGAGUCAAAGGCCAGUUGCUGCGGUACCAGAUUACUUGGGCUACUCCAUCUUUACCAUGCUGUGCUGCUGUUUACCUCUGGGCAUCGUUGCUAUCAUCUACUCAUGCAACACUCGAGAUGCUAACUUGACUGGACAGCGAGAGUUAGCGAUGGGCCACUCCAGAGUGGCAUUUAUCCUGAACAAUGUGGCUCUCGGUAUCGGCCUCGCAAUCAUAACAGUGGUCAUUAUCCUUUCCAUUAAAUUAGGUCAUUGAACAACAUCGUUGAACAGAUGUUUUAUUCUGCUUCAAAUGCAUCUACUCAUACUGUCAAUGAUACUGUCAACUCAAAUCAAUGAUUUUUGGAAGAAAUAACAUGUAUUUUCCAGACCCUCUGAAGGGAAUUAUCUAAUGUAUGCUUAUGUUUUAUUUCUUUUUUUUUUAAUGCUGGCAGACUGAUCUGUUUGAUUAGCAGAAAUUAAAUGCUUUACUGCUUUUCACUUAAUCCUUUUUUUUUUUUUUUUUUGUUAAUAUACUAUAUAAUAUAAAAUUUUACUAUUAAUAUUUUAUACUAAACACAUUAAUCGUUCUGGUCAUCUAUAGAGGAUUUCUCACUGGAGGAACAUUUUCAUAGCUCCUAGAACUAGAACUAUUGACGGAAAAAAUCUCACUUUUUGGCGUGUUAGAACUGCAGGAACUAGGAACUUAUCUAAACUUAAACUAGGAUCUCCGUUCGGGGGAAUUAAAUAGGGGUUAUGUGCAACGGACUUCUGCAUUCUGUUAAAUAGGUCUCACCGCUUCUGGUUCAAGUAUUUUGCAUAUGCUUCAUUAAAUAUGAAGUUGUUUUACUCAAGAUUCCUUCAAAAGUAGAUAAAAAAAAUUAUCGUAACCAACGUCCAUCACAUAUAAGAAUUGACAUCUAAAAGUUGUUUAUUUGUAUUCUUUUCACUAACAUUUAAAUAUACAAAUUUAAUAAAAUGUUAACAAUAAAAACA